rnacentral:rRNA from 1 species
AUUGAACGCUGGCGGCAUGCCUUACACAUGCAAGUCGAACGGUAACAGGGAGCUUGCUCCGCUGACGAGUGGCGAACGGGUGAGUAAUGUAUCGGAACGUACCUUUUAGUGGGGGAUAACGUAGCGAAAGUUACGCUAAUACCGCAUAUUCUCUGAGGAGGAAAGCAGGGGACCUUCGGGCCUUGCGCUAAUAGAGCGGCUGAUAUCAGAUUAGCUAGUUGGUGAGGUAAAGGCUCACCAAGGCGACGAUCUGUAGCGGGUCUGAGAGGAUGAUCCGCCACACUGGAACUGAGACACGGUCCAGACUCCUACGGGAGGCAGCAGUGGGGAAUCUUGGACAAUGGGGGCAACCCUGAUCCAGCCAUGCCGCGUGAGUGAAGAAGGCCUUCGGGUUGUAAAGCCCUUUCGGCCGGGAAAAAAUCGCAUGGGCUAAUACCCUGUGUGGAUGAUGGUACCGGAAUAAGAAGCACCGGCUAACUACGUGCCAGCAGCCGCAGUAAAAC